CAGCGGGCCAACAAUGGCGAACUAGCAACCACUACACGACGGUCCUUCUUUGAAUAACUAAAGAAUGCUUGGAUAAAGCAAUAUCAAUAUGUGCACCGGGAGUGGAAUUCAAGGCAAUUUGAAAAUCAAUUCAAAAACAAUGAAAGCAAGACACUACACGUAAGGCAAAUCAUAAGGGGUUCUUCUUUUUAUCACCCCAAAUAACAACACAUGAACUACCAAUGAAAGAGAGAAUGCAAAAAAUAAAGGGUUAAACAAACCUACCGAGCUCAAAGAGGGUCUAUGGUUUCAAAGUCUAAGUUAAGCAAUAUCAAAUGGACACCGAUUAAGUGUCCAAAACAAUCAAACGGCCAUGAUUGUGGGUAUUACAUUUGUCGAUAUAUGAAGGAAAUUGUCACAUAUUGUGAAGGAGGGACAAUUCCAAUAGAUUAUUUUCCUAGUUGCAGAUGUCAACAAUAUUCGGACAAUCAAAUCAUUGAAGUCAGGGAAGAUUGGUGUUUUUAUCUCAUUAGUAAAUCUUUAUAGGUUAGUAGGGAAGGUUAGGAACAAUGUUUUGCCUAAAGUGUUUUGGCCCCACAGUCUAGCAAAAAUGGAACAUGAU